UUGGCGGCUCCUCAAAACAUUAAACAUAGACUUGCCAUGUGACCCGGCAAUUCCACUGUGAGGUGUAGAUGCCGAAACAUCAAAAGCAGGGUCUCAGGCUGAUCCGUGUAGAACGACGUUCGUGGUGGCUCUGUUCCCAACAGCCCAGAGGUGGAAACAACCCACCCACAGAUGGCUGAAUAAGCGAAGCAUGGUAUAUGCACACAGUGUUCCUGAACUUGAAUAAGGAGUGAAAUCCUGAUAUGUGCUCAGCGUGGAGGAGCCCUGAAAACAUUAUGCUCAACAACAUAAGCGAGACCCAUAAGGGCAAAUGACCGCGUGAUUCCACUUACAUGAGGAAGGAUGGAACUAUCUCUGCUUUUUAUGCCAGUCUCAUUAACAGCCGCCAAGACAGAUGUGGGGCCCUCAACAGCAGUCCUUCUUCUUCGCAUCCAAAGAAUGGCAGAGAAAGUUAAGAGGCCGAAAUGAGGAGGCACAAAAGUUAGCAUCUUUAUUUUAUAGGCUGGAAUUCCAACUGCUGACACCUCGUUUUGUGUCCUGAGGACUUUCUCUUGACCUGGAGCCCCCUUUUCCACCUGUGCAGCAGGCCAGAGUGCUGGGAAAUUGGUGCCCCCGGGAGCAGACUCCCAACAAUGCAGCUUAGCUAGACUUUGAAGUCUACAUUUUCUGUCCGCACGUGCGUUGUCUUCUGGCUUCCAUAGCUGAUACUGAGAAGGCUGUUUUCAAUUGGACUGUUGUUGUUUUGCAGCUUGACUGAGCGCUCUUUGAGAGCAUGGACCAUGACAUACAUCUGCUGGGGUGUCCUCAUGGCGAGGUCAGAAGCACGGCGCUGAAUCGUAGG